rnacentral:tRNA from 1 species
GGGGAUUUAGCUUAGUGGUAGAGUGCUUGCCUAGCAAGCGCAAGGCCCUGGGUUCAGUCCCCA